GUGGGGAAUAUUGGGCAAUGGGCGAAAGCCUGACCCAGCAACGCCGCGUGAAGGAAGAAGGUUUUCGGAUCGUAAACUUCUAUCCUUGGUGAAGAUAAUGACGGUAGCCAAGAAGGAAGCCCCGGCUAACUACGUGCCAGCAGCCGCGGUAAUACGUAGGGGGCAAGCGUUGUCCGGAAUGAUUGGGCGUAAAGGGCGCGUAGGCGGCCCGGUAAGUCUGAAGUGAAAGUCCUGCUUUUAAGGUGGGAAUUGCUUUGGAUACUGUCGGGCUUGAGUGCAGGAGAGGUAAGUGGAAUUCCUAGUGUAGCGGUGAAAUGCGUAGAUAUUAGGAGGAACACCAGUGGCGAAGGCGGCUUACUGGACUGUAACUGACGUUGAGGCUCGAAAGCGUGGGGAGCAAACAGGAUUAGAAACCCCGGUAGUCC
rnacentral:rRNA from 1 species